rnacentral:lncRNA from 1 species
CCCCGGCGCGGUGCAGCGCCGCCAGCGUGUCCAGGAAGCCGGCGCGGGCCGCGUCGUGCGCCGGGAAGCAGCCGGUGCGCGGGUCGGCGCGGUUGGGGUCGGCUCCGCGCUGCAGCAGCAGCUCGGCCACCCGCGGGUCGGCGCGGUUGGGGUCGGCUCCGCGCUGCAGCAGCAGCUCGGCCACCCGCGGGCUGCCCAGCUUCAUCACCUGCGGGGAGAGACGCCGUCAGGGGCCGCGCAGAGCCGUCGGGGGAGGCCAGCGCCGCGCGGGCUCCGCUUCCCCCCCGCAGGAGCGGGGCAGCGCCAGGCUCCUCGCCGGGAAGCAAGCGGCGAAGUCGCCGAGGAGGCCGGAGACGAGGCGAGAAAGCGCCGCGGACCGAGCAGAGGCGCUCCGCGGACACGAGAAACCCGCUUUUCUCCGCGCCCCGGGACCCGGCGGGGCAGGUGGGGCAGAGCGGCCGGGCGCGGAGGCGGUGCGCGGGGAGAAGCGCGGGGCAGAGGGAGAAACGGGCUCUUUCUUCCAAAACCGCCCCCCCUCCCCAAAGCCGGGGGCGAUUCCCAGACUGCUCUUCAACGGUGAGCAUGCUGCGAUGUCCCUGCUGCGGCUGGCCGCGCCGGGAAAUCGUCUCGGGACAUCGCCGCGGGUCGGCUUUUACUCGGGAGGCUUUUCCAUGAGCUGCUCGGCACGGGGACGUGAGUGUACGGGGAGGUGCCGCUCCCGGCAGCGCGGCUCCCACGCUUCCCUUUGCCCUCGGAGAGAUUCAAAGCGCGGUUCUAGCCCCAACCCCGUCGCCGCUACGGCACCGACAUGCCUAGGAGCUUCUUGCUGGCAAUAGCUGCUUUCUAAACUGGAUCCUUCCCAGUGCAGCCUGUCUAGCGCAGUCUAAAUACAUGCUGCACAAAGGUACAGAAAAAACAUGUUGGAAGACAGUGUCAUAUGCAUAUUUCGUGUGAAAUACUGCACUGGCAUUUUAUAGGAGAGACUUUCACAAACACUGGCCAUGUAUUUUAAAUACAGCAUCUCGGAUUAUGCCAGUUUCGUUUUAUUUUGAAAACUUAAAACGAAGCUGGCUAGAACCGCUCCGGAAACUUCCUUAGUUGUGUAAAUCUAGCUUCUAGUAUUCCUCAAGGCACUACGUUCACGUGUGUGUAAAAUGAGGCACACUAACCCCACAGAGAGUGCUAGCUGCCUACCUGGAGUGCUCUGCUGGGGAAGACUAUUGCACCCGCAUGUUUCUGCUCAUAAGGGUCAGUGAAUAUAUCACGAAGAUCAGUGAAGAUAUUUGGUGUGUGAGAAAUUAGGGAAGAAAGGUGUAUAAAGCAGAAGACAAGGUAUGGCAGAAGGCUAAUCCUUUCUGAAAAGGUGACUCGUUACUUCUUUUUACGCAUUUAUGGGGCGAUGAGCAUUAAAGCUCUCGGUUUCGAGUCAUACCAUGAGUUGGUUAAAAUAAAGUCUAGGGUUGCUAAAACUAAAACUUCUCU